rnacentral:rRNA from 1 species
AUUGAACGCUGGCGGCAGGCCUAACACAUGCAAGUCGAGCGGCAGCGGGGGAAAGCUUGCUUUCCCGCCGGCGAGCGGCGGACGGGUGAGUAAUGUCUGGGAAACUGCCUGAUGGAGGGGGAUAACUACUGGAAACGGUAGCUAAUACCGCAUAAUGUCUUCGGACCAAAGUGGGGGACCUUCGGGCCUCAUGCCAUCAGAUGUGCCCAGAUGGGAUUAGCUAGUAGGUGGGGUAACGGCUCACCUAGGCGACGAUCCCUAGCUGGUCUGAGAGGAUGACCAGCAACAGUGGAACUGAGACACGGUCCAGACGCCUACGGGAGGCAGCAGGGGGGAAUAUUGCACAAUGGGCGCAAGCCUGAUGCAGCCAUGCCGCGUGUAUGAAGAAGGCCUUCGGGUUGUAAAGUACUUUCAGCGGGGAGGAGGGUGUUGUGGUUAAUAACCGCAGCAAUUGACGUUACCCGCAGAAGAAGCACCGGCUAACUCCGUGCCAGCAGCCGCCGUAACAC